CCCUUAGACGUUCUGGGCCGCACGCGCGCUACACUGACCGGUGCAACAAGCAUCCGUCCUUGGCCGACAGGCCCGGGCAAUCUUUGAACGCCGGUCGUGAUGGGGAUAGACUUUUGCAAUUUUUGGUCUUCAACGAGGAAUUCCUAGUAAACGCAAGUCAUCAACUUGCAUUGAUUACAUCCCUGCCCUUUGUACACACCGCCCGUCGCACCUACCGAUUGAAUGGUCCGGUGAAGCCUCCGGAUUGGCGCGCACCUCGGUGCCGCCGAGAAGUUGGCUAAACCUUACCAUUUAGAGGAAGGUGAAGUCGUANCA
rnacentral:rRNA from 1 species